rnacentral:rRNA from 1 species
GACGAACGCUGGCGGCGUGCUUAACACAUGCAAGUCGAACGGAAAGGCCCUGCUUUUGUGGGGUGCUCGAGUGGCGAACGGGUGAGUAACACGUGAGUAACCUGCCCUUGACUUUGGGAUAACUUCAGGAAACUGGGGCUAAUACCGGAUAGGAGCUCCUGCUGCAUGGUGGGGGUUGGAAAGUUUCGGCGGUUGGGGAUGGACUCGCGGCUUAUCAGCUUGUUGGUGGGGUAGUGGCUUACCAAGGCUUUGACGGGUAGCCGGCCUGCGAGGGUGACCGGCCACAUUGGGACUGAGAUACGGCCCAGACUCCUACGGGAGGCAGCAGUGGAGAAUAUUGCACAAUGGGCGGAAGCCUGAUGCAGCAACGCCGCGUGCGGGAUGACGGCCUUCGGGCUGUAAACCGCUUUCGCCUGUGACGAAGCGUGAGUGACGGUAAUGGGUAAAGAAGCACCGGCUAACUACGUG